rnacentral:tRNA from 1 species
GGCUUUGUAGUGAAAUUCAUAAUGAGUUGCAAGCUCAUUGAUGUGUGCUAGACGUGCACCGAAGUCU